UUCUAUUUGCACCACACCUUGGUUAAUAAUAGGUGCAAGUAGGACUCUUCCAAGUUCAAAAAGACUUUAUAAAUAGCAACACUCUUGGUAUUGGGAUAUGACAUAUUAUUCUAACUAAAUUAACAUAAACAAAGAAGAAAAGAAUUAUAAUGGAGAAGAAAAAAAUUGUUGGAUUGUGCUUCUUCUUCGUGGUUCUCCUAGCUACUCCUACUCAAGAAAGAAAGGUGAAGAUUGAUGUGGAGUGUGUGAGGGAGAGUAAAUUAUUCAUUGGUGUAUGUAUUGCUAAUCCUUGUCUUUUUACUUGCCGGUAUGAAGGUGCAAUGGCUGGUGUAUGCGAAGAUUACAAGUGCAUUUGUCAAUUGUGUUGAACUUUAUCAUCACUAUAUAUAGAUAACUAAAUGCAAACUAUAGUUAGUUCAUUUUCAUGAAUUAAUAAUGAUGUUUCCUUUGUUUGAUAUGGAUUAUAUGAUCACUACUAAAUAAUGAAAAGUGUUGUCCCAAAAAAUGCAUGAUAUAAAUAUAAAUGCACAAUUAGAAACUAAGGGUAUGACUAUGCAUGUUGUGAAUUUCUUUUUUUUUAAAUAUAUAUAUAUUUUAAUGAGAA